GAUGAACGCUGGCGGCGUGCCUAAUACAUGCAAGUCGAGCGAAGCGGGGACGGGUGAGUAACACGUGGAUAACCUCCUAUAAGACUGGGAUAACUUCGGGAAACCGGAGCUAAACCGGAUAAUUAUAGAUGGAUCCUCGCGGGAUUAGCUAGGUGGUAAGGUAACGGCUUACCAAGGCAACGAUGCAUAGCCGACCGGAGAGGGUGAUCGGCCACACUGGAACUGAGACAGGGUCCAGAGUCGUACGGGAGGCAGCAGUAGGGAAUCUUCCGCAAUGGGCGAAAGCCUGACGGAGAAACGCGGCGUGAGUGAUGAAGGUCUUCGGAUGGUAAAACUAUGUUAUUAGGGAAGCGGGAAAGAAAGAGAAAGCCACGGCUAACUACGUGCCAGCAGCCGCGGUAAUAG
rnacentral:rRNA from 1 species